UACGUAGGGGGCUAGCGUUGUCCGGAUUUAUUGGGCGUAAAGAGCGUGUAGGCGGCCAGGUAGGUCUGCUGUGAAAACUCGAGGCUCAACCUCGAGACGUCGGCGGAAACCAUCUGGCUAGAGUCCGGAAGAGGAGAGUGGAAUUCCUGGUGUAGCGGUGAAAUGCGCAGAUAUCAGGAAGAACACCCGUGGCGAAGGCGGCUCUCUGGGACGGUACUGACGCUGAGACGCGAAAGCGUGGGGAGCGGACAGG
rnacentral:rRNA from 1 species